rnacentral:misc_RNA from 1 species
GUCAUAUUCGCAGACACUAGCGCCCUUAGGCGGACACUUGGAGAACUUGGCUCAACCACCUUAGUUAACCAUCAACAGUUUGAGGUGACAGAAGGCGAAGGAAAGUGGGCAUUAAAGUGUUAACAAAAAUGAAAAUAUAAAAUGAAAGUUAUAAUUCUUCUCUUCCUUACCGCGAUAGCUAAAGGGGUUCAACGACGAACUGAGUAUGGAUGUGAAGGAGGAGAACUGAAUAUACAAUGUGAACUGGGAACUACAAUACAUCUAGUCAGAGCUAACUAUGGUAGAUUCUCAAUAUCUACAUGCAACAGGGAAGGUGAAACAGGAUGGUCGGUCAACUGUAUGGAGCCUAGAACCAUUAGAAUACUCAGAGACAGGUGUGGAUCUUUAAACUCGUGCACUGUCCCUGUCAACAGUUCUAUAUUUGGAGAUCCUUGUCCUGGAACCUUUAAAUAUGUGGAGGUGCAUUACAGCUGUCUAGAGCAGGGGGCGGGGCUCACCACCCUACAGGAACGCCCCCCUUGGCUCCUGGAUCUAACUGCUACGCCUGAGCCUGCGUGGCAGGUCAAACAUCUUCUAGAACUAAAUUCUUCUCUGCAAACUUCAACCAGGACUUCAGUAACUUCUCCAGGUACACCUUCAACACAAACAGAAGCUCCAGUAGUACCUGGAGCUACUGGAGUAACCGGAGUACAUGCAGUACAAGGAGAACCUGGAGAACAAGGAGAACCAGGCGUAAAUCUUACUGAUAGUGUUCCUACAAAACACCACUCAGGUUGGGACGAAUUGAAGGAUGAAUCCAGGUGGAGGGGAGAACAGGGAGAUGAUGAAUACGACCCUGAUCAAAUAUUUACUCUCGGAUCCGAACCCUGUUCCAGAACAUUCUCCCGAGGGAUUCUCUGGACCUGGGACGGAGAGGAGAGGGAUGUUAUCCAACCUUGUCCCUCGGAUGCACUAGGAGUAGCAACCUGGAGCUGUCUAAAUCAAGGUUGGGACGGAGAAUCUCCGAACCUCAGUGGAUGUAAAUCAACCUGGAUUACGGAGUUAACACGUGAUAUUGAGUUUAAUCCCGGAGAACGUAUUCUCUCUGAUCUAGCAGCAUAUACAAGAUCAAGAGCUCUCUACGGAGGAGAUAUUCUUCAAACUAUGAUAAUGCUCCGAACCCUGAGAGUGGAGCAGGAGCAAAAACUAGAGAAGAUAGAGCAAAGGGAGAAAAGGGAAGCUAAAGCAGCAGAAUUAUUCCAUAGUGUUCUGCUUACAGGAAAUAAUUUUCUCCGAGCAGACCAAUACUCGGCUUGGAAGGAUCUGGAGUUAGAGCAAAGAGCUGCAGCUGGAAGCAGCUUUAUUCAAGAGAUGUUUAAUACAGCUACAGUACUGGCUAGAAAUCUAGGCGCCAGGGAUAGAUUCGAACAGAGAACUGAACAUGUACAGAACUCUAUCCGGGUGUUUAAUUCCUACCCGGAGCAGGACUUGGAGUUUCUAGAUCUAGGAGGAACCCAGACCAGGGUUCAGCUCAGAGUAGAAGAUUUAACUGAGACGAGAGACAGCAUUGAACCAAUCCAACUCACAUUCUUUAGCUAUGAUGGUUUAGACAAGGUCCUGCCCUCCUCCUCCCUACCCCGUGUCAGGUUUCUCAACUCUGAUAUUGUAAGUUUGUUGUAUGCCAGGAGAACUCAACCGUCUCUAACCUUUCCUCUCCGGGUCACCCUGGAGCACAGACAGAGAAACUUGUCCUCCUCCUCCUGCGUGAGCUGGGACACCUCAUAUAAUUCUUGGACUGAAUCAGGCUGUCAAGUUGAAUCUACUAAUCAGUCCCAUACAACGUGUAUCUGUGACAGCAGUCCUGCAACCAUUGCUCUUCUUGCUGAGAUGAUCCCUGCAGGAGAAGAGUUAAAUGAAGAUAUUGGUUCUCUCCUUGGUAUUCUUCUAGCAGUAGUUACUGGAGUAUUCCUCACCUUCCUCAUAGUUCUCCUCACCUGGAAGUUCUGUUUACAUAGAGACCAAGAUAAACGGUCCAGGGUUUAUAUCUCCUGUAUCUGUAAGGACGGAGACGAGGAUUAUUAUCCUAACAUCAACUCCUCCCCAACCUCUACAACAUUAUCUGAUGAUCCAACCCAAACCUCAAACUAUUCUCUGGGUAAGGACCUAGUUUUCCCUUCUCAUGUAUCCCCUCAGUCGUUUCAACCACCUGGAGAACAGUGUCAAAUUCAUAGACCACUAGGGCAGCAAUCCUUGUACAAAUCUAUCACGCAGCGAUCAGACCGAUAUUCUAGCGAUCUUCUAUCAACACAUCGAUCUUGCAAUAGUCAAUCAGUUUACAGACUGAGCGAUCAUCAAUCUGUGUACAGACUAAGCGAUCAGCAAUCCAUUUAUCGAACCUUAAUUGGCGAUGAUAGUAGCGCAUUUAGAUCUGAUGAUCAGAGUACAUUAUACAGACUUACAGCUGAACCUGGUACUUUACACAGACCUGGAGCAGACCACGGUACAUUGCACAGACCCGGAGUAAACCUCAGUACCAUGCCUAGACCUGGAGCUGAACCUGGUGUUAUUCUCAGACCUGGAACGGAACCUACACUAUACAGAACCAAGAGACAGGAUAUCAACACUCUGUCAGGAGUUCUCUCUCCAAUACAACUCAAAGAUGAAACCAAUCAUUACUUUAGACCAGUGAGUCCCAGUGGACACAUAUACAUGGAGAUAGAUCCUAUAUUCUCCGGACCCCAGACAACACAGGAUGGAGAUAUGGUCUUCACUAAAGAUAAUGAACAGGACUUCCAACUAUCAGAUGCAAGUGACGAUGACCUGAGACGGAGUUUGAAUAAAACAAUCUCCAGGUAUAGUGAGGAUCAACCACUGCUCCGCACACCCUUGAGACGGAGCAAUCCUGUUCGUUCUUGUCAGGUUCACUCAACCUUUACUGGUUUAUCAAGGUUUGGAGCAGGAGAAACCCCAAACCUGGAGACUCCAAUUACAAUUGCAUUAACUCAGGAGGGGAAUGAGUAUGUAAGCUUGAACCUGGAGCGAGGGUUCGGACGAAGAACGCUUCCUCCAGAGUUCUGCAAAAACCAAACCCAGCUGAGGCGUAAAUAAAACAAAAUGCAUUUUCGUGAAUUUCCUGACUAAAUCAUUUCCGCGAUUAAAAGAAAGAGAUUAGUCCAGUUCUCCAGGUACCUGUCAGACCUGGUGUGUAUUUAACCCUGGAGCUUGAAUACAAGAUCUAGUAAUCUCCUGUCAGAACAUAAACCUUGAUAAGUAUAAGAAGAUUGGAGACAAGCAGAGAGAAGGAGAGAGAGAGAGACCUUAAUAAACUUUAAUCCGAGGGUUUUUAUUCAAGAGUGUGGGACGGAUACGUCUGCUUUGCACAAUCCUGAGAUAGAGCGAUACUUCGUGAGAUAGAGAUAUGGAUAACAGGACGAAUCUGGAUCAAGGAGAGAACUCAACCUUACUCUAUAGGUCUACAGUAGAUACAGAGAAAACCUUUUCUAGGUCUACAGUAGAUACAGAGAAAACCUUUUCUAGGUCUAUAGUAGAUACAGAGAGAACCUUUUCUAGGUCUACAGUAGAUACAGAGAGAACCUUCUCUAGGUCUACAGCAGAUACAGAAAGAACCUUCUCUAGAACUACAGUAGAUACACAGAAACCUUCUCUAGGUCUACAGUAGAUACAGAGAAAACCUUUUCUAGGUCUACAGUAGAUACAGAGAAAACCUUUUAUAGGUCUACAGUAGAUACAGAGCCAUCUUUAGGUCUGCAGUAGAUACAGAGAAAACCUUCUCUAGAUCUACAGUAAAUACAGAGAGAACCUUCUCUAGAUCUACAGUAGAUGCAGAGAAAAGCUUCUCUAGAUCUACAGUAAAUACAGAGAAAACCUUCUCUAGAUCUACAGUAGAUACAGAGAGAGAACCUUUUCUAGGUCUACAGUAGAUACAGAGAGAACCUUCUCUAGUUCUACUGUAGAUACUGAGAGAACCUUCUCUAGGUCUACAGUAGAUACAAAGAGAACCUUCUCUAGGUCUACAGAUAAAGAGUGAAGAAAACUAAACCUAAAUUCCAUAAGUAUUUUUUAUGACGAGAAAACGAGACUCCAAAAAUGGAUAAUGUAUGCAUCUCUUGCAUGCAUUUUGCAUAUUAGUGUCUACUGUCUAUAUUUACAUUUAUGUAAACAGAGAAAAAGUAUUUCUAACCUUCUCUAAGGGUAUUCUUUUAAAGAGAAGUAACAUGAAACAAUCCGAGCACGGAAAGAUAAAGAAAAACAAUCUAAAAAACACAAUUUUAAUGUUCUUAAAAACAUUACAUAAAAAAGAGAUAAAUCAGAAUAAUACCUCCCCCAAAUGCAUUAAAGAGACUGUAUACGUUAUUUCAAGUCGAUCUUUAUUUGUAGACUGGUCUGUCCGAUUAACAACGCGGCUUGCUCUUUAAUUCAGAGGAUGAACAAGAUAUUCUAAAUUAAUUAUUUUCAACUUGGGUUUUCCUGGAAAAAAACUGAUUUCGAAAUUAUAAUGCAGAGACAAAGAAGCAAAUUGUCAGAAUUUGAUAUUUUUUAAAGGAAGGGUUUUGCGAAAUAUAAAUUUUUUUAUUUUUCAA